GACGAACGCUGGCGGCGUGCUUAACACAUGCAAGUCGAACGGAAAGGCCCUUCGGGGUACUCGAGUGGCGAACGGGUGAGUAACACGUGGGUGAUCUGCCCUGCACUUUGGGAUAAGCCUGGGAAACUGGGUCUAAUACCGAAUAGGACCACGCGCUUCAUGGGGUGUGGUGGAAAGCUUUUGCGGUGUGGGAUGGGCCCGCGGCCUAUCAGCUUGUUGGUGGGGUAAUGGCCUACCAAGGCGACGACGGGUAGCCGGCCUGAGAGGGUGACCGGCCACACUGGGACUGAGAUACGGCCCAGACUCCUACGGGAGGCAGCAGUGGGGAAUAUUGCACAAUGGGCGCAAGCCUGAUGCAGCGACGCCGCGUGAGGGAUGACGGCCUUCGGGUUGUAAACCUCUUUCACCAGGGACGAAGCGUAAGUGACGGUACCUGGAGAAGAAGCACCGGCCAACUACGUG
rnacentral:rRNA from 1 species